AUACGAGGGGUGCAAGCGUUAAUCGGAAUUACUGGGCGUAAAGCGUUCGUAGGCGGUUUGUUAAGCAAGAUGUGAAAGCCCAGGGCUCAACCUUGGAACUGCAUUUUGAACUGGCAAACUAGAGUACUGUAGAGGGUGGUGGAAUUUCCAGUGUAGCGGUGAAAUGCGUAGAGAUUGGGAGGAACAUCAGUGGCGAAGGCGGCCACCUGGACAGAUACUGACGCUGAGGAACGAAAGCGUGGGGAGCAAACAGGAUUAGAAACCCUAGUAGUCC
rnacentral:rRNA from 1 species